GACGAACGCUGGCGGCGUGCUUAACACAUGCAAGUCGAACGGAAAGGCCUGCUUUCCCUUGUGGAUUGCGGGUACUCGAGUGGCGAACGGGUGAGUAACACGUGAGUGAUCUGCCCCCAACUUGGGUAUAAGCCUGGGAAACUGGGUCUAAUUCCCGAUAGGACUGCAGGGUGGUGCCUGUGGUGGAAAACGAUUUUCUAGUGGUUGGGGAUGAGCUCGCGGCCUAUCAGCUUGUUGGUGGGGUAAUGGCCUACCAAGGCGGCGACGGGUAGCCGGCCUGAGAGGGUGGACGGCCGCAUUGGGACUGAGAUACGGCCCAGACUCCUACGGGAGGCAGCAGUGGGGAAUAUUGCACAAUGGGCGGAAGCCUGAUGCAGCGACGCCGCGUGGAGGAUGACGGCCUUCGGGUUGUAAACUCCUUUCGACCGCGAGGAAGCCACCUGGUUGGAAGGGUGGUGACGGUAGUGGUAGAAGAAGCACCGGCUAACUACGUG
rnacentral:rRNA from 1 species